rnacentral:rRNA from 1 species
AGAUAGUAUUUUAAAUCUAUUUAAUUUGGCGGCAUUACAUCUUAUUAGAGGAACAUGUACUUUAAUCGAUAAUCCACGAUAAAUUUCACUUUAAAUAAAAAUUUAUAUAUCGCCAUCUAAAGAAUUAAUUUUAAAAUAUUCCUCAAAAUAAAAAAUAAAAAGUUAGGUCAAGGUGUAAUCUACAUUAAAGAUUAAUAUGUGUUACAAUAAAAUUCAAUUUAGGAUUAAAAGAAAAUAAUUUUUUAGGAAAGAGAAUUUAAAAGUAAUAAAAUAUUAAUAAUACUUUAUGAAUUAGAUUAAAAUGUGU